CCUACGGGUGGCAGCAGUGGGGAAUAUUGGGCAAUGGGCGCAAGCCUGACCCAGCAACGCCGCGUGAGGGAAGAAGGCCCUCGGGUUGUAAACUUCUUUUGUCAGGGACGAAACAAAUGACGGUACCUGACGAAUAAGCCACGGCUAACUACGUGCCAGCAGCCGCGGUAAUACGUAGGGGGCAAGCGUUAUCCGGAUGUACUGGGGGUAAAGGGCGUGUAGGCGGGGGAGCAAGUCAGAGGUGAAAUUCCAGGGCUCAACCCUGGAACUGCAUUUGAAACUGUUUUUCUUGAGUGAUGGAGAGGCAGGCGGAAUUCCGGGUGUAGCGGUGAAAUGCGUAGAUAUACGGAGGAACACCAGUGGCGAAGGCGGCCUGCUGGACAUUAACUGACGCUGAGGCGCGAAAGCGUGGGGAGCAAACAGGAUUAGAUACCCGGGUAGUC
rnacentral:rRNA from 1 species